GAGUUUGAUCUUGGCUCAGAUUGAACGCUGGCGGCAGGCCUAACACAUGCAAGUCGAGCGGUAGAGAGAAGCUUGCUUCUCUUGAGAGCGGCGGACGGGUGAGUAAUGCCUGGGAAUCUGCCUGGUAGUGGGGGAUAACGCUCGGAAACGGACGCUAAUACCGCAUACGUCCUACGGGAGAAAGCAGGGGACCUUCGGGCCUUGCGCUAUCAGAUGAGCCUAGGUCGGAUUAGCUAGUUGGUGAGGUAAUGGCUCACCAAGGCGACGAUCCGUAACUGGUCUGAGAGGAUGAUCAGUCACACUGGAACUGAGACACGGUCCAGACUCCUACGGGAGGCAGCAGUGGGGAAUAUUGGACAAUGGGCGAAAGCCUGAUCCAGCCAUGCCGCGUGUGUGAAGAAGGUCUUCGGAUUGUAAAGCACUUUAAGUUGGGAGGAAGGGCAGUAAAUUAAUACUUUGCUGUUUUGACGUUACCG
rnacentral:rRNA from 1 species